rnacentral:rRNA from 1 species
GAUGAACGCUGGCGGCGUGCCUAAUACAUGCAAGUCGAGCGAACGGACGAGAAGCUUGCUUUUCUGAUGUUAGCGGCGGACGGGUGAGUAACACGUGGAUAACCUACCUAUAAGACUGGGAUAACUUCGGGAAACCGGAGCUAAUACCGGAUAAUAUUUUGAACCGCAUGGUUCAUAAGUGAAAGACGGUCUUGCUGUCACUUAUAGAUGGAUCCGCGCUGCAUUAGCUAGUUGGUAAGGUAACGGCUUACCAAGGCAACGAUGCUUAGCCGACCUGAGAGGGUGAUCGGCCACACUGGAACUGAGACACGGUCCAGACUCCUACGGGAGGCAGCAGUAGGGAAUCUUCCGCAAUGGGCGAAAGCCUGACGGAGCAACGCCGCGUGAGUGAUGAAGGUCUUCGGAUCGUAAAACUCUGUUAUUAGGGAAGAACAUAUGUGUAAGUAACUGUGCACAUCUUGACGGUACCUAAUCAGAAAGCCACGGCUAACUACGUG